rnacentral:rRNA from 1 species
GAUGAACGCUGGCAGCGUGCCUAAUACAUGCAAGUCGAGCGAACGGACGAGAAGCUUGCUUCUCUGAUGUUAGCGGCGGACGGGUGAGUAACACGUGGAUAACCUACCUAUAAGACUGGGAUAACUUCGGGAAACCGGAGCUAAUACCGGAUAAUAUUUUGAACCGCAUGGUUCAAAAGUGAAAGACGGUCUUGCUGUCACUUAUAGAUGGAUCCGCGCUGCAUUAGCUAGUUGGUAAGGUAACGGCUUACCAAGGCAACGAUGCAUAGCCGACCUGAGAGGGUGAUCGGCCACACUGGAACUGAGACACGGUCCAGACUCCUACGGGAGGCAGCAGUAGGGAAUCUUCCGCAAUGGGCGAAAGCCUGACGGAGCAACGCCGCGCGAGUGAUGAAGGUCUUCGGAUCGUAAAACUCUGUUAUUAGGGAAGAACAUAUGUGUAAGUAACUGUGCACAUCUUGACGGUACCUAAUCAGAAAGCCACGGCUAACUACGUG